rnacentral:rRNA from 1 species
UGGGGAAUUUUGGACAAUGGGCGCAAGCCUGAUCCAGCAAUGCCGCGUGUGUGAAGAAGGCCUUCGGGUUGUAAAGCACUUUUGUCCGGAAAGAAAACCUCGUGGUUAAUACCCGUGGGGGAUGACGGUACCGGAAGAAUAAGCACCGGCUAACUACGUGCCAGCAGCCGCGGUAAUACGUAGGGUGCAAGCGUUCAUCGGAAUUACUGGGCGUAAAGCGUGCGCAGGCGGUUCGCUAAGGCAGAUGUGAAAUCCCCGGGCUUAACCUGGGAACUGCAUUUGUGACUGGCGGGCUAGAGUAUGGCAGAGGGGUGUAGAAUUCCACGUGUAGCAGUGAAAUGCGUAGAGAUGUGGAGGAAUACCGAUGGCGAAGGCAGCCCCCUGGGCCAAUACUGACGCUCAUGCACGAAAGCGUGGGGAGCAAACAGG